UCCCUCCCUCAAGCGCUGCGCGUCCUCCCUCUCACUCCCUUCGCUCUCUGUACUGCCAACGCCGCCGCCUGAUCCAUGGUGACCUAGUGCUCGCUGGUCGACUUCUCCAGCGAUGAUGCACCAUCGCAUCAGGGAUCCUACUCUCCGCCCCCUCCUCCUCAUCCCUGCGCUGUCUGCGGGGGUGUACCAGGAACUCGGGAUGCGGAUUCAUCCUUACACGGCGGCCUCCCCUGCCGUCCUCGACACCUCCGGCGGUGGAUCUGCAGGACCGCGCUAGUGUCUGACGGGGCAAGCAGCAGCAAGGGCUAGCAGCUAGCGCGGCAUAGCGGAGGCUACCUCGCCGUGGAAUGUCCAUGAAGGAACUACUAGAAAGCAAACAUCCAACGGCAUGGUCAGAAUUCGAGAAGGGACUAAUUGAUGAGCGCCACGAGAUUCCUCAGCUUUCUGCUCCAUCUACUGCUGCCAGUGCACGUAGAGUGCGCAAGGCAUAUAUGCUUCUCUAAAGAUGGGCAGGUGGGAAGACUGAAACUAGAGAAGGCCAUUCUUAGGGAAGCAAAAAGUAUUGCUACAGACUUAGUUGAAUCACACUCGGAUUUGGUUUUGAUGUGUGUAUAUAUUGAAUAGGAGUGAUCUAUGUCAUUGCUGUGGGAUGAAGUAGCUAGAAGCUACAUUGUGUGUACAUAUUCAUAUUUGUGUAAACAAAUGAAGUAGCUAGAAGCUACAGUUAUGUUUAUGCACGGGUAUUUGUGACCAAUACAAUGCAUUUUUAUUCUAUUUUU